CUUCUUUAGUGCAAAUACCCCAUAAUGGUUAAUUUCAGGGCCGCGUAACACUGAGUAGCAGAGGCAUGCACUAAUCAGAUCUCAUUAGGUCCUAAGGACUGACUGUAGCAUUUGCUGCCUGUAAACAGGAGACAAAGGAUUGUUAGGGGCAUCAUAUCUGUUUGAGAGUGUUGACAUCUUACAAAGAUGAGGGGAAAGUCAGAGGUUGGGGCUGGUGAGGCUUCUCAGUGAUUUUUCAUGGAGAUUUUGCUGGUUUCUGAGUGAUGAUGUGGGCUUUAAAAAUAUAUGGACCAUUUGAUUUUCAGAUACCUAGGCAAUCAAGGUGAUAUUUGUGUUAUCAUGCUUUUUGUGUGUCAGGUAGGAAAAAAAUUGUCAGUUGGGAAAUAAUGCUUUUUUUUAUUCCUUAGCAUUUAGAGUUUAAAUAUAAUGACUUUAGUAAUAAUCCUACUAAUAACUAUAUGUGUCUUGGUAAGAUAUACUAUUUUUUCCACAGUAUUGACCAUUUAAUCAUUGAAGGUGUUAUGUGAAGAGAAUAUGAUGACUCUGAGAAUGUUGCUGGUACUGAAGUUUUGAUGGGAUCCAAAGAGUGUUAACGGUUCCCUAAUGAUGAAAGUGGACCAAGGUUAUUUGUUGGUAUCUUGAUAGAACAGACUGUGUCCUUAAAUGUAUUUAUCACAUGGAUCUACUUAGGUUCCGGUCAAGACAUCACUGUGUACAUACAUGUUUAUUAAUGGAGCUUUCCAGGUAUGCAGCUCUUUCCAAGUGCACAGAGAUGAGCUGCUGUUACAUUUCUCAUUAAAGAUGUUGUUUCCAGACAUCAAGGUAUAGACAUGCAAUGAGAUGUGCACCAAACACUGGGAUUUUUAGAUUUCUGUCAAGACCUUAUAGUAACCCUUUCAACUGUUGGUCAGCACACCAUGUAGAUACGGUGGUAAGUCUCAUGAUGACCAACAGUGGCAGUUUGUUGUAUCCAUGGCCAUGA
rnacentral:lncRNA from 1 species